CACUAAGGAUGGCGAAGUCCACCAGGAAUUGAGAGAGGAAAGACCCCAGCGCAGGAUCAUCCACCACAGUCUCUCUUAGCAUCUCCUCCUACAGUGUCUUGUUCAGCAUAGCUCCUGACCCACGCUGAGCCAACUCACAUGCUGACUCGGGUGAGCCGGAAGUCAGUGUGUUGGUUACUUUUCUUAUUGUUGUGACUGAACACCAGACAAGAAGCAAGUUAAGAGAAGGAUGGUCUGCGCUGGCUCACAGCUGGAGAAUCUCCUCCAUCAUGGCGGGGAAGCCUUGCCGCUUAGAGAAUGUGGUUUGCCAGUAAGACCUCGGAGGCUGUUUUCACACUUCUUGGAAGAUCAGGUGAGUAGAGAUGUAUACUACAGAAGAUCGGUGUUUAAUUAGAUGUGUUCCCACCACAUGAACCAGAGAAGAGGAGGAAGGAAUGGGGAAAGAAAUACGGGUGUGCCUGCCUCCAGGGUCCUGACUUCAGGUUCCUGCCUUGACUUCCUUCAGUGAUGAACUGUGAUGCAGAAGUGUGAAAAGCCAAAUAAACUCUUUCCUCCCAAAGUUGCUUUGGGUGUCUUAUCACAGCAAUAGAAACCAUAACUAAUACACAUGGUCACCCUUGCGUGCAUGUCUGUGCCCUGAUCUGUUGUAAGGAACCCUGGCACACAGGCAGCCACAGCCAUAUGACGUGGGAGAAAUAAUGUCCAUUCUCCUGUCACAGAACAUUCAGCCCAGUCACCCAUAAGGAAACUUUCCCCAAGGUCUGAAGAGCAUCCACCUCUGUGCCUGGCUCUGAUGUUCACAUUCUGAAGCCAAGAAAAAGUACUGCUCAGAAUUAUUGCUUAAAGAGUUGGAGUUUUUACUGGAGUUAUAUAAAGCCAGUGAUGUCGGAGUAGUGCAUGAAUCACAGGAAAGAGCCCUGAUUAUUUUUUACCCAGUAUCUGGCAGUAUUCGAUGAUAGAUACAUGCAAUGGAUCCUCAAGUGCAAACUCCCCCAGUGCUAUUUCAGAGUUACUAAAGACCUCCAUUGCCAGAACUUGCUAGAAGAAAUAGCCCAUCUUCUCUCUCCUGUCUGGCCUCAAGAGUGCAUGGAUACAUCAAAGAUCCUAAGCCCUGUCUUGCAGAGGACAACAUGUUCUUGCUUCCCAGGGACAAACAACUCCAAAAUUCAGGGAGAACCCUCCUCAUUCUAACCAAGUUAACAAAAAUGAGUCUAAAUAUCAAGUGAUGUUGAGGAGGUGAUAAUGUGAGUCCCUUGUACAUCCUGGAAGGAUUGCAGAGAGUGUACAACUCAGAAAGCAUGCUGGUCAUUCUUUGGUAGAGCAUAGAAAUUUACAUGUGUGUCUGAGAAGAUAUCCAGGGGGACACUUACCAGAUUCAUUUGCCACAAUAAA